UACGUAGGGGGCAAGCGUUGUCCGGAUUUAUUGGGCGUAAAGAGCGUGUAGGCGGCCAGACAGGUCCGUUGUGAAAACUGGAGGCUUAACCUUCAGACGUCGAUGGAAACCGUCUGGCUAGAGUCCGGAAGAGGAGAGUGGAAUUCCUGGUGUAGCGGUGAAAUGCGCAGAUAUCAGGAAGAACACCCGUGGCUAAGGCGGCUCUCUAGUACGGUACUGACGCUGAGACGCGAAAGCGUGGGGAGCGAACAGGAUUAGAUACCCCCGUAGUCC
rnacentral:rRNA from 1 species